rnacentral:rRNA from 1 species
UACAGAGGUCCCGAGCGUUGUUCGGAUUCACUGGGCGUAAAGCGUGCGCAGGCGGUUUUGUAAGCCAGAUGUGAAAUCCCCGGGCUUAACCUGGGAAUGGCAUUUGGGACUGCAAGGCUGGAGUGCGGCAGAGGAGACUGGAAUUCCUGGUGUAGCAGUGAAAUGCGUAGAUAUCAGGAGGAACACCGAUGGCGAAGGCAGGUCUCUGGGCUGACACUGACGCUCAACUACGAAAGCGUGGGGAGCAAACAGG